AGUUGCCACCAAAAAUCAAAGUCCUCAGUACUUAUGAACUCCAGAACCGGUACCGAUAGUAGAACUGAGCUCAUGUUUGUGCAUCCGUAUGCAAUUGAAUCGAAAGGGUAGGAGAGUGGCAGAGCUUACGAGUUGCGCAGUUGAAGAAUUUGACGACAAUGUCUAGAGCAAUUCAACCUGUUCAGUGCUUCCCGAAGUUCGCCAGUUUACCAUGGCUGACAGUGGCGUUGUUCCUCUUCUGGAACAUGCAAGCUGCGAUGGGGCAGUUAAUGCCUGCGAUGUAUAUUCUCGGUGACUCACUCAUCGACCCCGGCAACAACAAUUACAUCCUCACGCUUGCCAAGUCGAACUUUCUUCCGAAUGGACUGGAUUUCCCUCAAGGACCCACUGGAAGAUUUUGCAAUGGCCGCACUACUGCCGACAACUUGGCUCAACUUAUGGGCCUGCCUUUUCCUCCGCCCUACUUGAGUCCCAAGGCUCAAGGACCCAUCAUUCUUCAGGGGAUCAACUAUGCAGGAGCAGCGGCUGGCAUCCUCGAUUCGACUGGAUACAACUACAUUGGGCGUAUUCCACUAAGCAAGCAACUGGAUUACGUAGAAAAGACGAAGGCCCAAAUCACAGAGAUGAUAGGAGAGGCCAAAACGGCAGACCUAUAUGCCAACGCGCUAUUCUACAUCACAAUCGGCAGCAACGACUACAUCAACAAUUAUCUGCUCACGGGAUCUGCUACUUCACAACAAUACACUCCACAAGAGUACGAAGACCUUCUCAUUUCAGAAUUCGACAAGUUGUUGAGGAGACUCUACAGCAUCGGUGGUCGCAAAGUUUUCGUCUUCAACGUUGGCCCGCUGGGAUGCAUCCCCUCACAGCUCUACAACCAAAGAAGCCCCGACGGAAGCUGCAUAGAGUUCGUCAAUAGCUAUGUGAGAGGAUUCAACUCAGCAACGAGCGUUCUUUUGAAGCAACUCACCGGAAGUCUCCCCCGAUCCAUCUUCGUCUUUGCCAAAGCGUAUGAUUUAACUUAUUCACUGAUUAACGACCCAGCCAAAUACGGGUUUUCGGUGGUGAAUAAGGGAUGCUGCGGGGCGGGGCCAUAUAAUGGCGCCGUUCCCUGCCUCUUAGGGUUGAUCCCCUGCCCGGACCGCGCAGCCUUCUUGUUCUGGGAUGCUUUCCACCCCACCGACAAGGCCAACGCGAUUCUCGCCAGUGCAUUCUACCAAGGUGGCAAGGAUGCCAUAGAACCUGUGAACGUCAAGACGCUUGCAUCCAUGAAGCCCUACUUUGGGCCAUCUCACGAGACAGUGACCGCAUUCUUUUCGAAUUCAAGUGAGGGUGCCAUCAAACCUAGGGUGGCUCUCAUGUCCCUCACAGUUGUUGCAUUAGCUGCGCUGAUCUUUCACUCCUACCGCACAGAGGAAGUAGGUGGAGAGAUGGGAAUACGGCAACUCUUCACGUUGAGGAUUGGUAUUUUACUACGGCUCACUAUGAUAUUCGUCGUAUUCAGCGGAAUCACAGCAUCAAACGGACAAACUGUCAAGCCUGCUAGUUUCAUCCUCGGCGACUCGCUAGUCGACCCUGGCAAUAACAAUUACAUUCUGACACUUGCCAAGUCCAAUUUUCGUCCGAAUGGCUUGGACUUUCCUCAGGGGCCCACAGGACGUUUCUGCAAUGGCCGCACUACCGCGGACUUCAUUGUUCAAAUGAUGGGCUUGCCGUUUCCUCCACCAUAUCUGAGUAAGGAGACGCAGGGACCAGCUAUUCUUCAAGGCAUCAACUACGCCUCAGCUGCAGCUGGCAUCCUCGACUCUACUGGCUUCAAUUAUAUUGGGCGCAUAUCUCUGAACAAGCAGCUAACUUACUUGGAAAACACAAAGGCCCAGUUCGCGCAGCUUAUCGGAGAAGCUAAAACGGGAGAAGUAUUCGCCAAGUCGCUGUGGUCUGUCAUCAUUGGAAGCAACGACUACAUUAAUAAUUACCUGCUUACGGGGUCCGCUACUUCGCGGCAGUACACACCCCAACAAUACCAAGACCUCCUCAUUUCAGAAUUCAAAAAGCAACUGCGGACACUUUACGGCCUUGGAGCGCGCAAGAUAGUCGUCUUCGGCGUAGGACCGCUGGGAUGCAUCCCCUCUCAGCUCUACAAUCAAAGAAGUCCCGAUGGGAGCUGCAUACAGUUUGUCAACAGCUAUGUGAGAGGGUUCAACGCCGCAUCCAAAAUUCUCCUAAAGCAACUCACUGCAAGCCUCCCUGGAUCCAACUUCGUCUAUGCGAACGUCUAUGAUCUAAUUGCGUCAUAUGUAUCCAGUCCAGCACAAUUCGGCAAGCGCUCACUACCCACUUUCUUACGCAGUUCAGUUGUUAAGCAUGUGAUGGGUAAGUCAACCAUACCACAUUAUGGUUUCUGAUCGUGGAUACAUUGAAUUCUUAGGUUUCACGGAGGUUAACAAGGGCUGUUGCGGAGGAGGACCGUACAACGGACUGAUUCCAUGCCUACCGACGGUACGCACUUGCCCGGACCGAGCUGCUUACCUCUUCUGGGAUCCAUUCCAUCCAACUGACAAGGCCAACGGGCUGCUCGCGAGAGAGUUUUUUCACGGUGGUAAAGAUGUGAUGGAUCCUAUAAACUUCCAGCAGCUUUUCUCCAUGCCGUAGUUAUCGAGUCAUGAAUUGUGCUCAGUCAAAUCAGUAGUUCCUGCAGACUUUGUUAAUCUGCCUGCAUUGUUUUGAAAGCUUGACACGCUUUGAUCUAAUCUAAAUACAAGCAUUGUGAUGUUUGCACACUUUGCUACGAGAUACGAUCG